GCCCAUUACAGUGUGGGUGGCUCUUUGGCUUGUGAACUUGAUGUGGCCGUUAGCCAGUUUUACUUGGACACUGUAUAACUAUAGAUGACCGUCUCAAUCUUGAACAUGAGGUACUGGGUCAAGCAUGAAGCUGUGCCCAUCUUCUCCACUAUUGCAGGUAGAGGCUUGCUGAAACCUGUUAGACACAACAAAUUCCGCCAUGCUAUGCAGAGUUGCUGACAACGGCCGAGAGCUUGGUAUCCCGCUACAUCCAUGGGAAAGUGAACAAAGACGUGUGCCCAAGCUAAUCGUGAGGGGCCUAUGGUCUCGUGCGGUGUUCAGCAAAAUAAGUUCUGUUCCGGGUGCCCAAACCGUUGAGAUCGCAGUCAGGAGUGAGAUCCGGAGCCAGCCUACAAGGCACCUGGCCACAAGAAGAUGACCACCUUCUCUGUCUAUAUUCGGCUGGCAGAAAUGAGGACAAACUCAAGCUGUUUAAGAGGAGAGACCAUUGCUAGGAAUGUUGCCUUUUCCCAUAUGCAAAUAUUAAUCUAUCAGUGCAUAGUUAUGUGCAAAGAAACACCCACGUGACAAAGGCCGGCGAGUGAACUGGACUUGGAUAAGGCAAAACUGAAACCAAAGAAUCUUGUCAGAGCCGCUUGCCCUUCUCACAAAGAAUAUAACUGGAUUGCAGGAUCACAGAGAAUUUGAUUCAUCGGUUAUAAACUUAGGAGAUCACUGCUUUUACGCAGUAACAUGACUGUGGGGGAGAAUUUAGUACUGGUGGUGGGAAUGUCUGAAGGGGUUUUCUUUCCAGGGAUCAGUGAUUUGAGGGUGUAAUUUAUGAUCAUGGAUAGUACUGGGUGAGGCAGAUAUAACUGGUCAGAGAAGAUCCCGCCAGUGAUGUUAUUAUUGGGGAAAGGAAACGGGUCUAGAUUGGAUGUUUGAGAAAAUGCCUCCAUAAGAUGUAGCUGUAAGGCACUUAUAAAAUGAGUGAUUAAUGGCGGAGGGUCCUGUCCAUUAUGGGUGGUUCUAUCCCUGGACUGGUGGUCCUGAGUUCUACACAAAAGCAGGCUGAACAAGUCACGAGGAGCAAGCCAGUAAACAGCACCCCUCCUUGGCCACUGUAUCAGUUUCUGCCUCCAGAUCCCUGCCCUGUUUGAGUUCCUGUCCUGACUUUCUUUGAUGAUGAACAACAAUGUGGAAAUGUAAGCCAAAUGGCAUCUUUCCUCUCCAACUUGCUUUGUGGCCGUGGUGUUCUUUUGUUUU
rnacentral:lncRNA from 1 species